rnacentral:lncRNA from 1 species
UAAAGUUAAGUCACCUACCACCCUGUCUUAUCUUUUAAGAAAUUUCUUAAAUCCAGAGAACAAGAUGGCGUCUUAAAGUCUUAAAUCAGUUUUCGGUUCUUCAUCAGUAUAUUUUAAGACAAAACUAUCUCGUUUUUUUGUUAAAUAUAGUUGUACAUAACCAACAGUAAGUAUUUCGUCUAAAUUAUUGAUUAUUUCCCAUUUCACCCAAGGUCAAUGACGUUCACUCAGCUUGCAACAACACAAGCUUAAACUCGUGGUUUAUUACUAUCAGACGGCUCUAGACUAGUGGCUACAUCAAUGUGGACAGAGAGAGGAGAAGAUACAUUUUGUGCAACUAAAAUGGAAGACUGAGGAUCACAGAAUAUGCAGUAGAUCUAAUUGAAAAGGUGGAUAGAAUCGUCUGUUUUCGCGAGUGAAAAGAUGAGAAGUAUUGGAUAGCAGUCAGUUGCUGCAGUAACAGUUACAGUGUACUCUUGUUCAUUGAUGCGGUUAUUGAUGACGAUGAUGACAUGAUGCCUUCAUCACUCAUCUUGAUUAAUAUGCGGUUAAAGGUUAUAAAAUGGUUAAAGGCAUGCCAUCACCAAUAUGAUAAGAAGCAAUCAGUCUUAAUAUCUUGCAGCUGAAGAAAAGUUAUUGUACCAACAAUGUUAUACUGAAUCAUGAAAAUGUGUACAGACAUUGUUAUUAUUCUAUGGUUUAUAUUUGUCUCCCACUUACUUGAGUAAAC